UGGCCGGACAAGUCCAUCGGGAAAUCCACGCGCUCAACGCGUGGGCGUCCGGUGGAGACUAUCCGGCUUGGGACCGGAAGACCCGAGGGGUACGUCCGGGGUAGGAGUGAAAUCCCGUAAUCUCGGACGGACCACCGGUGGCGAAAGCGCCUCGGGAGGACGGAUCCGACAGUGAGGGACGAAAGCUGGGGUCUCGAACCGGAUUAGAUACCCGGGUAGUCCCAGCCGUAAACGAUGCUCGCUAGGUGUGGCGCAGGCUACGAGCCUGCGCUGUGCCGUAGGGAAGCCGUGAAGCGAGCCGCCUGGGAA
rnacentral:rRNA from 1 species